GCCAAUGAAAUGCGGGCAGCAGUGACAUGUGUCCCUUUCAGAACGAAGCUUUAAGAGCUGGCAUGCAGAUCACACUUUCUCUUUGGUCACUAUCAUUGCCAUAGUGACCAGCAAUGUUCCACACAGAGCCUGCUUCAUCAGCUUGAAUCCCAACGUGAGAUUUCCACGGAGCAAAGCCACAGGCAAAAUGGUACACUAGAUGGCUGUUCUCCAACGUGUUGGCGUGCAGACAUCUGGGUAAAAGAACAGCAAGUGGUAAAAGCCCUCCAUGGGAUGCCUCCAAUUUGGAAAGCCCCGCACCCACCGCUGUUCACCACAAUUUUGAUGAGAACAGAGGGAAGGGGAUGGGAAGGAGAAGCGGAGAGCCCAGAUGAUGUCAGUUGAGACUCAGAAAAAUGAUGUAACUCGUUCAUUCCCAACACUGCUACUGGUGGUUGGAGCUGGAAGAGCUGGAACUGUCAGGAAGCUCUUAUGCAAGUCAACAGCAACACACACAGCAGCCCUCUUUACAACAGCAAAAACCUGAGACACUCAAGUGCCCAUCUACUGGAGAAUGGAUUGCUAAGUUGUGUUACGCUUCUAUACUAGAACCCUAUACAGCCAAGGAAAGGAAUAAAUAAGACAAGUUAAUACGAAAGUGAAAGUCACUCAGUCGUAUCUGACUCUUGCGACCCCAUGGACUAUACAGUCCAUGGAAUUCUCCAGGCCAGAACACUGGAGUGGAUAGCUUUUCCCUUCUCCAGGGAGUCUUUCCAACCCAGGGGUCAAAC
ensembl:lncRNA